rnacentral:rRNA from 1 species
CGAGUGGCGAACGGGUGAGUAACGCGUACGCAACCUACCCUUAAGAGUGGGAUAGCCCUGGGAAACUGGGAUUAAUACCGCAUAUUAUUACGACAUCGCAUGGUGUUGUACUGAAAAUUCAGGUGCUUAAGGAUGGGCGUGCGUGCUAUUAGCUAGUUGGUGAGGUAACGGCUCACCAAGGCGAUGAUAGCUAGGGGGCGUGAGAGCGUGGCCCCCCACACGGGUACUGAGACACGGACCCG